UACGAAGGGGGCUAGCGUUGUUCGGAUUUACUGGGCGUAAAGCGCACGUAGGCGGGUCUUUAAGUCAGAGGUGAAAUCCUGGAGCUCAACUCCAGAACUGCCUUUGAUACUGAGGAUCUAGAGUUCGGGAGAGGUGAGUGGAACUGCGAGUGUAGAGGUGAAAUUCGUAGAUAUUCGCAAGAACACCAGUGGCGAAGGCGGCUCACUGGCCCGAUACUGACGCUGAGGCACGAAAGCGUGGGGAGCAAACAGG
rnacentral:rRNA from 1 species